rnacentral:rRNA from 1 species
UACGUAGGGGGCAAGCGUUGUCCGGAUUUAUUGGGCGUAAAGAGCGUGUAGGCGGCUUUACAGGUCCGUUGUGAAAACUCGAGGCUCAACCUCGAGACGCCGGUGGAAACCGUAAAGCUAGAGUCCGGAAGAGGAGAGUGGAAUUCCUGGUGUAGCGGUGAAAUGCGCAGAUAUCAGGAGGAACACCAGUGGCGAAGGCGAGUCUCUGGGAUGAUGCUGACGCUGAGGCGCGAAAGCCAGGGGAGCAAACGGG